rnacentral:rRNA from 1 species
UUCGAGGCGAGUAGCCUAAGGGGCUCGAGUGAUUUACGGAAAAGGAACUCGGCAAAAUGACCCCGUAACUUCGGGAUAAGGGGUGCCAGUAGUAGCUGACCUAAUCAAGGGAAGGCGAGGCUGGCCGCAGAGAAUCGUCUCAAGCGACUGUUUAGCAAAAACACAGGAGCGUGCUAAGGCAUUGUCCAAGCCUACGUAUACGCUCUGACUCCUGCCCGGUGCCGGAAGGUUAAGGCAAGUCGUCAGCCGCAAGGCGAAGCGAUGAACCGAAGCCCCGGUAAACGGCGGCCGUAACGAUAACGGUCCUAAGGUAGCGAAAUUCCUUGUCGGGUAAGUUCCGACCUGCACGAAUGGAGUAACGACUUGAGAGCUGUCUCUUCCGUAAGCUCGGCGAAAUAGAAGCAUCGGUGAGGAUUCCGAUUACCCGCGACAGGACAAAAAGACCCCAUGCACCUUUACUACAACCUGUCAUUGAUUGUCGGUAUGCGCUGCGUAGCAUAGGUGGGAGCCAUUGAGACCGCGGUUUUGGCUGCGGUGGAGGCACCAGUGAAAUACCACCCUUCGUUUACUAACAAUCUCACUCAGCCGGCAACACCGGCGAGGACCGUGGCAGGCGGGUAGUUUGACUGGGGCGGUCGCCUCCUAAAGAGUACCGGAGGCGCGCAAUGGUUGGCUCAGUGCGGUCGGUAAUCGCACGUGGAGUGUAUACGCAAAAGCCAGCCUGACUGCGAGCGCUACAGCGCGAGCAGGGACGAAAGUCGGUGUAAGUGAUCCGGCGGGACCGUGUGGACGGCCCGUCGCUCAUCGGAUAAAAGGUACGCUGGGGAUAACAGGCUUAUCGCGCCCGAGAGUUCACAUCGACGGCGCGGUUUGGCACCUCGAUGUCGGCUUGUCACAUCCUGGGGCUGGAGAAGGUCCCAAGGGUCCGGCUUUUCGCCGGUUAAAGUGGCACAUGAGCUGGGUUCAGAACGUCGUGAGACAGUUCGGUCUGUAUCCGUCGUGGGCGUGGGAGUGUUGAGGGACGUCGACCUUAGUACGAGAGGACCGGGUCGAAGCGACCGCUCGUGUACGGGCUGUUCCGCCAGGGGCAGCGCCCGGUAGCGAUGUCGCGCGAAGAUAACCGCUGAAAGCAUCUAAGUGGGAAACUUUUCCCAAGAAGAACACUCCUGGAUCUUAAGAUCCCUGUAGGGCCGUAGGAGACUACUACGUUGAUAGGCGGCAGAUGCACGGCACGUAAGUGCUUUAGUCGAGCCGUACUAAUCGCCCGUGAAGUUUGAUCUC